UUUCUCCCUUUUAAUACUACUCACUACGGCGUAAAUUCACAUGCACUUGCAAGGUAAUGUAAGUCAAUGGAGGCCAAACAGCAUUGAUAAACACGCUACAAAGCGGGA